AGAGUUUGAUCCUGGCUCAGGACGAACGCUGGCGGCGUGCCUAACACAUGCAAGUCGAACGGAGUUAUCUCAUUCUGAGAGAUAACCUUAGUAGGCAGAACGGGGUGUAGUAAUCGCGUUGACGAAACCGUGCCAUUUCAGUCGGGGGACAACAGGUUGGAAACGACUGCUAAUACCGCAUGAUACUUUCGUGGGGGCAUCCCUGAGAAAGUCAAAGCUUUAUGUGCUGAAAGAUGGUCUCGCGUCUGAUUAGCUAGUUGGUGGGGUAACGGCCCACCAAGGCGACGAUCAGUACCCGGUCUGAAAGGAUGAACGGCCACAUUGGGACUGAAAUACGGCCCAGACUCCUACGGGAGGCACCAGUGGGGAAUAUUGGGCAAUGGGGGAAACCCUGACCCAGCAACGCCGCGUGAAGGAAGAAGGCCUUCGGGUUGUAAACUUCUUUUACCAGGGACGAAGGACGUGACGGUACCUGGAGAAAAAGCGACGGCUAACUACGUGCCAGCAGCCGCGGUAAUACGUACGUUGCAAGCGUUGUCCGGAUUUACUGGGUGUAAAGGGCGUGUAGGCGGAGCUGCAAGUCAGAUGUGAAAUCCCGGUGCUCAAUCCCGGAACUGCAUUUGAAACUGUAGCCCUUGAGUAUCGGAGAGGCAAGCGGGAUUCCUAGUGUAGCGGUGAAAUGCGUAGAUAUUAUGAGGAACACCAAUGGUCGAAGCGGCUUGCUGGACGACAACUGACGCUGAGGCGCGAAAGCGUGGGGAGCAAACAGGAUUAGAUACCCUGAUGGUCCACGGUGUAAAUGACGGAUACUAGGUGUGGGACGAGGGACCCACUCCGUACUCGCAGUUAACACUAUAAGUACUCCACAUGGCGAGUAUGCCCGACAAGGCUGACAAUCCAAAGGAUUUGACGGGGCGCCGCAAAGUCAGUGGAUUACGUGUUUUUAUUAGACACCAUGAGAACAACCUUACCUGGAUAUAACAUUCUACUAACGAAGCACGAGAUGCAUUAGAUGCCGUUCGGGGGAUCAGAGACAGAGGGGAUGCUAAUUUCAGAUCGUUCGUGAGUAUAGUGUAAGUCCCAUAACGAGCCCAACCCGUAUUGUUACCUGUACGAAAGAGCACUGUAGCGAGCCUGCCGGGCACUAACCGGAGGAAGUAGGGGAUGAGAUCAGAUCAUCAUGCCCCUUAUAUCAUGGGUUACACACGUAAUACAAUGCUGAUAAACAGUGAGAAGCGUAAUCCCAGUGGUGGACCAAAUCCGUCCAACCCAUAUCAGCUGGGAUUGCAGGCUGCAAUUAGCCUGCAUGAAGUUGGAAUUGUUAGUAAUCGCGGAUCAGCAUGACUCGCAGGAUAUGUUCACGGGCCCAGUACACAUCGCCAGUCAAGGUCGAAUUCUGUAUGGACGAUAACAGGACUAGGCCAAUUUAAUGAGCGCUUAUUCUGGUUGUCAUCUGG
rnacentral:rRNA from 1 species